rnacentral:rRNA from 1 species
UGAGAAAGGGCGUGUGGUGGAUGCCUAGACUGAAGAAGGCGAUGAAGGACGUGGUUUAGCUGCGAUAAGCUUCGGGGAGAUGCUAAGCAAUCUUUGAUCCGGAGAUUUCCGAAUGGGGUAACCCCAUCAAGUAAACCU